UGGGGAAUAUUGCGCAAUGGGCGAAAGCCUGACGCAGCCACGCCGCGUGAGUGAUGAAGGCCCUAGGGUUGUAAAGCUCUGUCGGGAGGGAAGAAGAUCUGACGGUACCUCCCAAGAAAGCACCGGCUAACUCCGUGCCAGCAGCCGCGGUAAUACGGAGGGUGCAAGCGUUGCUCGGAAUCACUGGGCGUAAAGCGGACGCAGGCGGAUCAGCAAGUCAGGCGUGAAAGCCCGGGGCUCAACCCCGGAAUUGCGCUUGAAACUGCUGGCCUGGAAUACGGGAGAGGGAAGCGGAAUUCCUGGUGUAGAGGUGAAAUUCGUAGAUAUCAGGAGGAACACCGGUGGCGAAAGCGGCUUCCUGGCCCGAUAUUGACGCUCAUCUCCGAAAGCGUGGGUAGCAAACAGGAUUAGAUACCCCUGUAGUCC
rnacentral:rRNA from 1 species